rnacentral:rRNA from 1 species
UACAGAGGGUGCAAGCGUUGUUCGGAAUUACUGGGCGUAAAGGGCGCGCAGGCGGCUGCUCAAGUCAGGCGUGAAAGGCCUGGGCUCAACCCGGGAAUUGCGCUUGAGACUGGGCUGGCUUGAGUGCGGGAGAGGAUGGUGGAAUUCCUGGUGUAGCGGUGAAAUGCGUAGAUAUCAGGAGGAACACCUGCGGUGUAGACGGCUUACUGGACCAUAACUGACGCUGAGGCACGAAAGCGUGGGUAGCAAACAGG